rnacentral:ribozyme from 14 species
AUUGAAAGACAGAGAGAAAGAGGGAUCGAAAGAAGGAGAAAGAGAGCACUCGAUCUGUUUUGAUCUUCCUUUGGUUUUUAGUGAUUCUUUCUUCUCUUUUCUACUCUUUUCUUCUCUUUUCUUUGCUUUUCUCACAAAACAGUGAAAAAG